AUCGAACGCUGGCGGCAUGCCUUACACAUGCAAGUCGAACGGCAGCACGGGAGCAAUCCUGGUGGCGAGUGGCGAACGGGUGAGUAAUAUAUCGGAACGUGCCCAGUCGUGGGGGAUAACGUAGCGAAAGCUACGCUAAUACCGCAUACGAUCUAUGGAUGAAAUCGGGGGAUCGCAAGACCUCGCGCGAGUGGAGCGGCCGAUAUCAGAUUAGGUAGUUGGUGAGGUAAAGGCUCACCAAGCCGACGAUCUGUAGCUGGUCUGAGAGGACGACCAGCCACACUGGGACUGAGACACGGCCCAGACUCCUACGGGAGGCAGCAGUGGGGAAUUUUGGACAAUGGGCGCAAGCCUGAUCCAGCAAUGCCGCGUGCAGGAUGAAGGCCUUCGGGUUGUAAACUGCUUUUGUACGGAACGAAACGGCGAGCUCUAAUACAGUUUGCUAAUGACGGUACCGUAAGAAUAAGCACCGGCUAACUACGUGCCAGCAGCCGCCGUAA
rnacentral:rRNA from 1 species